rnacentral:rRNA from 1 species
AGUGAACGCUGGCGGUAGGCCUAACACAUGCAAGUCGAACGGCAGCACAGUAAGAGCUUGCUCUUACGGGUGGCGAGUGGCGGACGGGUGAGGAAUACAUCGGAAUCUACUUUUUCGUGGGGGAUAACGUAGGGAAACUUACGCUAAUACCGCAUACGACCUACGGGUGAAAGCAGGGGAUCUUCGGACCUUUCGCGAUUGAAUGAGCCGAUGUCGGAUUAGCUAGUUGGCGGGGUAAAGGCCCACCAAGGCGACGAUCCGUAGCUGGUCUGAGAGGAUGAUCAGCCACACUGGAACUGAGACACGGUCCAGACUCCUACGGGAGGCAGCAGUGGGGAAUAUUGGACAAUGGGCGAAAGCCUGAUCCAGCCAUACCGCGUGGGUGAAGAAGGCCUUCGGGUUGUAAAGCCCUUUUGUUGGGAAAGAAAAGCAGCAGGUUAAUACCCCGAUGUUCUGACGGUACCCAAAGAAUAAGCACCGGCUAACUUCGUG